AGCCCUUCUUCUUCUUCCUCCCACCGAACCAAAAGCUCUCCCUCUCUUCUCCCUCAAAUCGAAGAUUUCUUUCAAAUAUCUCUUCCCACCGAUUUUCACCCUUCAAAUUGCCCGUUUAGGAACCAACUUCUUCUCCUCUUUCUUUCUCGUUUGGGCGAUUUGAGCUUGCCCUAGAUUUUACCCCUCUUCUGCAAACUGAUGAUUUACCUCCCCAAAAUCCUUGCUUUUUCUUCUAAAAUCCUUUCCUCUCUACCUUUCAUUUAGUCUCCUAAGCUCCUUGCAAGUCUCUUUUGUCUA
rnacentral:lncRNA from 1 species